UAAAGGAAGAGAUGGAAAUUAGUAGAAAAAAUAUUAAAAACUUAGAGGAUCAGUCUGGGACAUCUGACAUUCAAAUAACAGGGUGUCCAAAACAGAAAAUAGAAAACAAAGAAUAGAAUGUUUUUAACUGCAAGAAAAAUGAACAGAAUUGGAUGACAGAAAACCCCUAGAUGACAAGGACCCACUGGGUGCCCUUUGAAUAAAUGAAUGAAAAAAAACUGCCCAUCCAUGUUCAUCAUUAUGAAAUUUUGAAGCACCUAGGCUAAAAAGACCUUCCUAAAAACUUGUGGAGAGAAAAGUCGGGGUUAAAUAAAAUAAGAAUUGGAAUUUUGGACUUCUCAAUAGCAACAUUGGAUGCUAUAAUAGAAGACAAAGUCUUCGAAAUUGUACAGGCAAAGUAUUUUCAAUUUAGAAUUUACACCAGCCAAAUAAUCAAGUGGGAGGGAGAAUAAAGACAUUUUCAGCAUGGAAGGACACAAAGCACUCCCUCUCAGAAACCUUUUCUUUCUGAAAUGAAUAUGUGGUCCAACAAACCACAAUCAAGAAAAACGUGGCAGAAAAUAGGGAUUUUAACACAGGAGAUGGGUGAAGGGAGUUCUAGGAUGGUAGGUGGGCAUUUGAAUUCAAGAACUAGCAGUUGAGGUGUAAGCAGGGAAAGUAAUGGAAGAAACAUCCCAAGCGUACAAAAGGAAAUGAUAAUCAUCUUAUUAUCAUGCCAGAGCUUUUAGAGAAAAAAAGUCUCAGCGUUCCGAACAGCUGAUGGUACACUUAGAAAUUUUUUACGGUUCAACAUAUAAAAAGCUAUGCAACAGAUAAAAAUAAGGCAAUUAUUAAUUUUUAAAAGUAUGUUUAAAAACAUAGUAUACUAGUUAGCCCUAGAAACUAUACUAAACUAUAUUUAUGUAGCCAUAAAAAUGUAAAUACUAUGAUUAUGAUUGCUAAAACAUCAGUGGGGGGGAGAGGAUAGUAGAGGGAGAGUUAAAUCCUCAUCUACCAUAAUUAGAAGUUAUUAAUGUCUAAAAUGAAAAAAUAAGGUGCACAUAUUAUAUAAAGAUGGGACAUAUAUAUAUGUAUAUAUCAGAAGAGUUAGCUAAAAGUUAAAAAUAUUUGCCUCUAUGGUUGGGGGGAAAGUGGAGGGUUAUAGCAUUUUUAUAUACUUUGAGUAUUUGCAUUACUUUGCUAGAAAUAUAUUUUUUAAAGCAAGUUCCCCCAACACCCUCUGCAAAAAAAAGUCAGUAUGGCAGAUUUCAGAAAUAGUGACCUUUCUUUACCCAUGCCAGUAGAAUCCAUCAACAAGAAUGAUCUAUCUAGUCAGUCUCAUGUCACAAAGAGGGCCUUAGGGGUGCUCUUCCUGGAGGAGUUGUAUAGCUAGAUAGAGGCUAGGAUGGAAUCCAUGUGUGGGCAAAUUACCUCAGUUCUCUGGUCUCUUGUUUCAUCUGUAAAACAGGCACAAUAAUAGUCCUAACCUCAUCAGGCUGCUGAAGACUGAACAGAUGAUGUAGGUAAUGUGCUUAGCAUAGUCUCUGGCUCAUGAGUUCUUAAUAAAAAGUACUUGAUAAUAUCACUGUUAGCAGCAUUCAUCAGUCUCAAGGUGGAAACCAUCAUAUAUUAAGAUCUGGAACUAGCAGAAUCCAGAGCUUUUGACUUCAGGUUCUGAUUUGAGCAUGUGCAGAUGGAUAAACUGAGCUGUAACCCCAUGCAUCUUAUAUCAAGAGGACCAGCCACUUGGGGAUCCUCAAGGAUAUAAGUGCCCUCUCCCCUCUCCAACCUGUUUUCCCAUCACCUCCUCCUAACUUUCAUUGGGGUUUAUUUCCAGAUUCUCCCACCAGGUAUCUUAAGUGUUUUCUCCACAUGGAAAUGCUUUUCAGUAAAAUGAAAAUGACUGAACUUUUUAUAAAGUGAAGUUCAGAGUAUCCCUUCUGGGACUCUAUUUUUUCCCUUGAAAUUCUAGAUCAAAAUUUCAAAAAGGCCAGAGUGGGGUCCAUAGAAGAGCAGAAGCAAUGAGUUGGAAGGACUUCUGUGCACCUCUAUUAGUCCCACUGCAUGGAAUCCUUAGGGUGUCAUAAUGAGGGACUCCAAUGAAAGAAUGAAAGAAUCUCUGAAGUGUUGAUUGGCUGUUUCUGGAACUUGGCCCAAGUUCCUACUACAGAUGUACCAUGUCCACUUUUCUCAGAAUUCAAGUUUCCUGGUUGGUUUUUUUCUCAUCCAAGAAUCUAAGAAGAGUCCAUAAAGAAGGCUGACAACAAAUGAAUGGAGAAAACACAAGCCCCAAAGCCUGCAGCACAGCCAGGGACCCUCUGUGAGCUGAGUCUGUGAGUUAGGGACCAGCUCUCUUCUCCAUGAAGCCUGCCCUGAUUCUCCCCAGAGGGAAGGCUGGCCCCCUUUUCCAAACUCCCACUACAUUUUGUCCAAACGAUGUUGGAAGCCACUGGGACUCCCCAAGAACAAUAUCCAAGUUGAAGACACCUUUUGCCACCCCCGCCAGUGGACAUGGAAGGAGUGCCGCACACACCCGCCCUGAAUGCAGAAGCAGCAGAGUUCACCCCAAGGAUUUCACCAAGCACUAGUGUUCCUUGUUUUGCUUGUUUUUGAUGCCUAAAGAGCCAACAAGUGACUAACAGACUGUUGUUCAUGGAUUGUCUAAAGUCAGCCUUCUAAUAGCACCCGAAGGGCUCCUCAUGCUGGUGCAACCCCGCUGCCACUGCUCCUGAGCCUAUGUUCCCUUCUCUCCACCAUGCACCUUCUGACAUCAUGACUCACUGGAGAACCAGGCCAGGAUCCCAACCACCCCGUGUCUCAGUGGGCCUGGGCGGGAGCCCUGUGCUGCCAGGAGGAGCAGAGAUAACAUUGAUUGUCCAGAAGCUCUACGAUGGAGACAGGUUGUCAUUGGAAGUCCAACAAGAGACAGAGGCAAGUGAGCUUUAUGGAGCACCUACUGUGUGCCAGGCCCCAUGCAACGGGCUUCUGUGGAGGCCUGCCCCUGCCAUCUUCACAACCCUCAGGUGAGCCAGCUUUAGCUUUACAUUUUAUAGAUGAAAAAAGCUGAGAGUUGAUGAGACUAAGAUACUAUUUGUGAGACCAAAAGAAAGAGGAAAAUCUCAUUUAAUCUCCAGGAUUUGUUAAAUUAGGCAAAGACAAGAAGGAACUUUUAUGUGAGGACAGACUGAAGUCCUGGCAUUUUCCAGCUCAGAAAGUCUGAGAAAGGAUAUGCUCAAGAACUAUCACAUGAAGGAAGAGCUCCUGCUUGACCGUGAGCUGGGCCGUCAAAUCCCACAUCCUCAUGGGGACUCGAUGCAGCCUGGAUAGCAGGGUGGUAAGACUCUCUGCUUCCUGAGCACAGGGUCUACCCUCCUCUUGUGAACUCUGUGUCCUUCACCAAGUCAUUGAACCUCCAUCUGCUUCCUCACCUGUUUAAGAAAGGAUGAUCGUAAUAGGACCCACAUCAUAGGGUUUUGUUAAGGGCUAAAAGAAAAAUAUGUAAAGCGCCUUGCCGAGUGCCUGGUACUACAGUAAGGAUUUGAUAAAUAUUAGCUGUUACAGUAAUUAGGAGUCAUAUUUUAUACCCUACAAGAGGCAUUUGUAGAUCAAAAGAAAUCUCACAUUACAGGGUGGGAAGUAAACUCACUAAACAUAGCCCCAAGGGUGGCACAAACGGAAAAUAUAAAUAGAAUAAAAAAGGGUUAGAUCACGAAUGGGUAACCUUUUCUCUACCAUAAGCCAGUGACACACAGGGGCAAAAAGAAAAUCCAUUUCUGGCCCCAUGUAAGUCAAAGAAGCCAUUAUAGGCUGUGAAGGGAAUUCAAUUAGUCACUGGUUGCCAUGCCAAUGCAAACAUCACCCUUCCACCUACUCUACCAUCAACACAUUUGAAUAAGUAACAAUGAUAAUAGCAUGCACUAAAAAUGCUAUUUUUAAAAAAGUUACAUGUGCUUCUUUCAAAAGUCUGGUUUUCAGAAAUAAUUGCUAUAGUCCAGAUGAGAAUUCACAUGGAAUCCCUAAAAUGGGUUGAGUAUCAUCAGAGAAGAGACAUCUGUAGAUUAUUAAGGGACUCUUAGGGUUUGGAGUUGAUUUUCUUGUGGGGGAGGGGAAAUUUUUUCAACAUUCCAAGCUUGAUCAAGCAACCCUUCAUGGUGUCAGAAAUUGAGCUCAGACAGUCCCUUGCUCAGCACUGCUCUCCUCACACCCUGAAGCCUGACCUGGAUCCCUGGUUUCAUUAUGCCUUCUUCAAGCUUUGCUUGAGUAUCUACAAUUUGGCAAUGUGUACCUAAAACUUAAAAAAAUACUUUGAUCUAAGAAUUUACUUAAAAAAAUACUUUGACCUCAGAAUCAAUCCUAAGAAAACCAAUACUGAUAUACAGAAUUUAUAGGAGCAAAAAUAAAAGUAAAGAACAGAAAUAACCAAAAUGUCCAAAUUAAAUUGUUAUACAUCCAUAUGCUAGAAUAUGAUGAGCUAUUAAAAAUGAGGCUGUCAUAAAAAUGAAUGAGAUCAUGUCCUUUGCAGGCACAUGGAUGGACCUGGAAGCCAUUAUCUUCAG
rnacentral:lncRNA from 1 species